rnacentral:rRNA from 1 species
GGGUCAGUAGGUUGGUCGUGCCACCGGUACGUACUGGUCUCACUGAUUCCUCCUUCCUGAAGAACCGUAAUGCCAUUAAUUUGGCGUUGCGGGGAAACAGGACUGUUACUUUGAAAAAAUUAGAGCGUUUAAAGCAAGCUAACGCUUGAAUACAUUAGCAUGGAAUAAUGAAAUAGGACGAUCGAUCCUAUUUUGUUGGUUUCUAGGAUUGACGUA